AAAAGAUUAAGCAUAAAGAAACACAUAUGGAUAUGGACCUUUUUUUUGUUUACAUGCCUCCCUCUUUCUCAGACCUAAAAGCGCCGCUCUCUUCUUCUUCCUCGCUAAAUCUCGAUUCAAAAUUUGAAUUCUACAUGCUCCUUUCUGAAAAUCCUAACGCGAUGAAAUCACCGAUUUUCUUCACCACAGUUGUGGAUAUUUUUUUCACCCGAAGACCGACAUAUCCAAAUUAUUUGGUUAACGGCAUCCUGACCUAUUGUCGCUGCAAUUCUGGUGGAUUGAGAUCAGAAUAUAUCACUUACAAAUCGAAGUACCUAGAUUGACAAUUUUCACGAAACAAAAGGCAAACACACUCAUAUUUGCAGAGAGGGGUUUGGAAUGCGCAAAAACAUGGAGUUUGUAAGAAGCUUGCGAGGAAAGUUGGAUCCAAUCACCGGUUUUUGGCACUCUUGCAGAAAAUUCUAACGCUUCACACAUAUGUUGAUAGAUUCCAUCCAGUAGGAGAGGGAUUCAUGACUGAAAAAUGGUGUAUAAAUCAAAAUCAAACGGAUGCAAAUGAGUAUGGAAUGAGUAAGAGCGAACCAAAGACAUCGAUGUUUCUCUUCUCUAUGGGGUCUAUGAUAUCAAACCUAUAUGUAUUCAAGACCUAUUUCAAAUAUACUAAUCGACUACAAUAUCACAUGGUUAAAGCUUGUAUACUUAAGCCAAUGACAUACAUUGUACUGGUUUGACCCUUGAAAGAGAACAAGAAGAAGAUUAAGUUAGCAUUUUAAAGUUACAUGUUCUAUAAUAUAGGUUAAAUUUAAGGUUUGUAAUUAAUAUUUUGAGUUAACAUUUUAAAGUACGACUUCUUUUUUAAUUCCUUGGUGGUUGUAUAUAUGAUAUUUAGAAUAAAGACUUCAUCUCUUUAUAUA